rnacentral:piRNA from 1 species
UCUUUCUGUCUUAUACCAAAGUCUGGGUGA